AGCCUUAGUUAACCUAUCCCACAAGAUUGACAAGAGGGGUGGCAAAAAUGCGGAGUUACAGUUCUGCCGGCGUUCACAUAUUUGAUCUCCGGGGAAUUGGGUAAGAGUAUUACAAGGUGGAAAUCGAACCCUAAAUUUGAAAUUUCAGUAGCCAGAUGUGAAAUUAUUUGUUGAUAAAGCUCAAAUCAAUAUAUUAUGGAACAGCAACUUCCGAAUCGCAACAGGUAAACUCCAUGUUGAGUCAAAUCAGUGUUGUGAAUGGCGAGCCUCAUCGCCAAAGGCGAGAGGCGAGGCGAGGCGAGGCCUUCUCGCCAUUCCACAUUGAGGCGAGGCGACAUACAAAAGGCGACCCGUGGCGAGCUAAUGGCGACAAUAAUGGCGGCGCCUUUUUGAUUUAUUUUUUUUAAAAGAUUUGACUUAACAAUAUUAGUUAAAAUUAGUUUUUUUUUCUAUUUUCAAAAUUUGCUGCUGCGCGACUCCUCUUACCCUCGCGAUCUCUUCUCCCCGACUCCUCUUCCCCUCGCCGGUCGAGUCUCUUCGAGAUUUCGAGUUGCUGCUGCACUGAGGACCUGAGCAGCUGUCUAAUUCAUACGUUAUCACCACUCACAAGCCUGAUAUGUUGUCAUGGAAAGGAACUGCAGAUGGUGGCUUAUGGUUAAAUCCGGCUAUAAAUUUCUGUCAAGAAACAUUUCUCCUAAUUCAGUCUGGUUGUAGAAAACAAUCUGGAAGAGUGCUGCACCAGAAAAGAUGCAAUGUCGACAUGUGCUGAUCUAAUGAUGAUAAGGUUCAUGCAAAAGAUACCUUAAGGCAGCGAAUCAGACUAACAGAACACUGUACCAACACCGACAACAUUGAUAUAUAAAGUUCGGAUUCCCUGAUGCUGUUCUUCAUUGUGGCUUCUGGCAUUGGAGAUAUUCUCUUUCUCUUUUAAGAUAUUUUCACUGUAAGUGAACGUGAGGGUCUCACAGUACAGAUUUCUGAAGCCUCGACAGAUCUUCGCCAUUAUGUCGAUCGUGCUGUUGUCAUCUACGCUAUAAGCCCCCCUGAUGACUCAUGGGUUCUUGUGGUAACUUCUGUCCUAGUGUUAAGCUGAAUAUUAGUGAGCAUUUUUCUUGACUCAUUUGGUGGCAUAAUAUUUUGACAUGAUGGUGUCAAAUUUUCACGUGCAGGGUGUCAUUGCUUUACAUGUUGUCCCAGUGAUAGUAGUCGUUAUGAUAUAUGAAAUUUGUUCUAUACGUCAAGCUAG